CCUACGGGGGGCAGCAGUGGGGGAUAUUGGACACUGGGGGAAACCCUGAUCCAGCGACGCCGCGUGAGUGAAGAAGUAUUUCGGUAUGUAAAGCUCUGUCAGCAGGGAAGAAAGAAAUGACGGUACCUGACCAAGAAGCCCCGGCUAACUACGUGCCAGCAGCCGCGGUAAUACGUAGGGGGCAAGCGUUAUCCGGAAUUACUGGGUGUAAAGGGAGCGUAGACGGUGAUGCAAGUCUGGAGUGAAAGGCGGGGGCCGCACCCCCGGACUGCUCUGGAAACUGUGUAACUUGAGUGCAGGUGAGGUAAGCGGAAUGCCUAGUGUAGCGGUGAAAUGCGUAGAUAUUAGGAGGAACACCAGUGGCGAAGGCGGCUUACUGGACUGUAACUGACGUUGAGGCUCGAAAGCGUGGGGAGCAAACAGGAUUAGAUACCCGAGUAGUC
rnacentral:rRNA from 1 species